rnacentral:rRNA from 1 species
UAUAGAUGGAUCCGCGCUGCAUUAGCUAGUUGGUAAGGUAACGGCUUACCAAGGCAACGAUGCAUAGCCGACCUGAGAGGGUGAUCGGCCACACUGGAACUGAGACACGGUCCAGACUCCUACGGGAGGCAGCAGUAGGGAAUCUUCCGCAAUGGGCGAAAGCCUGACGGAGCAACGCCGCGUGAGUGAUGAAGGUCUUCGGAUCGUAAAACUCUGUUAUUAGGGAAGAACAUAUGUGUAAGUAACUGUGCACAUCUUGACGGUACCUAAUCAGAAAGCCACGGCUAACUACGUGCCAGCAGCCGCGGUAAUACGUAGGUGGCAAGCGUUAUCCGGAAUUAUUGGGCGUAAAGCGCGCGUAGGCGGUUUUUUAAGUCUGAUGUGAAAGCCCACGGCUCAACCGUGGAGGGUCAUUGGAAACUGGAAAACUUGAGUGCAGAAGAGGAAAGUGGAAUUCCAUGUGUAGCGGUGAAAUGCGCAGAGAUAUGGAGGAACACCAGUGGCGAAGGCGACUUUCUGGUCUGUAACUGACGCUGAUGUGCGAAAGCGUGGGGAUCAAACA